UGGAGCAGCAGUGACCCUGCAAGACCCCAUGGGUUAUCACUGGGGUAAGAGUUGAUGCCCAUGGGUGAGCAGAGAUCUCAGCUCAGGAGGUGCAGUGAAGGGUCUGAGCUCCAUUGGUGCCUCAGUCCGGGAAGAACUCCGUGUGCUCAAAGGUUGCCCUCGUAAUUGUUUUAUUACUGUUGAUAAGACAAAGCCUCUCUACUUCCACGCCGACGUUAAUAAUUCCCUACGGUCCUUUGAUUCUGUGAAUUCAUUUUAACUGUGGCACUGGGUUAAGUGCCCCACAUCUUCCUUUCUCUUGCCUUUCCCUCUGUUUCCUAACCGUUCCCUCGCCAUCUGCGUGACAUCAGUGCGAGAACAGCUGACGCCCCGUGCAUUGCUAUGGGAGCCGUGCUCCUGCCCUUCGGUGCGGCGCUGGGAUGGAUGCGGGCGGAGGGAAUCGGGUUUGGUCAUCGUCACCUCGUGUCGCGCACUGCCACCGCGUGUCGCUGCCGCGGAUCUGUCACGGCAGCAGGAUGCUGCUGCUGAGCCCUGGUGGGGAGACGUGCAGUUUGCAGGUCACAGCUGGGAAAAGAACACUUCUGGAGAGUAGAUUUCUAUCUUUUUUUCUGGUUAUUUGGAUGCAGAUUCCUGAUUUUUCCAGGUACAGGGUGGGGCACGGCAAUGCUUCUGCAUUUGCUUCCCUGUAGAAAGGGGCUGCGCUCGCGGCUCAGCAUCCAGCUGGUGGGAAAGGGAAGGGCACCGUGAGGGAAGGAAGCAGGUGAGAGGAGCCCAGCCGCACAGGAGGGGUUAAGGCUGCUCUGUUUGUUCACUGCCUUGUCCAGCAUGGGAGUGGUUCAGCGCAGGCACCAGAAGAAUGAGCACUCAUGGGUUGUCUGUGCUGGAUUCUCCCUUCCCCAUGACCAGGAUGCUCACGCUGGUGCAUUGUAUGCUGUCACCUUGCUGGUGGGACAUUGCACGGGCGACAAAACCUGGUGACCUGCCACCAGGAGAGCCUGGCAUCCCAUGGGCCCCUUACAAAAGGUGAAGAGAAGGACUUCUGGUAUGCAAAGCUGCAGCAGAAUGACAGCCCCAUAGUAGGGAGUGGGACCACGUCCCCGCUGUCCCCACACUGCACUCCAACUGCUGCAGCUGUGCCUGCAUUAGGAGUGAGCUCUGGCUGCAGCAGGGUGAGACCAAAGGCAGCGGUGUUGCUGUUGGAUGAGCUCUCCUGAGAGCAGCCGGUUGAACCGGGUAACACAUCCUGAGUCAUUUUGAUGAGCAGUGGGGUGGCAAGAUGCUUUGGGUGGAGGCUGAUUGCUUUUGACCGAGGUGAUUUGAAGGGUUAGUAACAAACAGUGAUAGCACCCAGCUGCUCCUUUUGCUCACCUGGGUAUGAGGUCCCCAGGUGUCCUAGGCUGACCCCAGCUUGUCAAGCAGGGACACCUGAACUCCCCACCUCCUUGAGAUGAAAAAGGAGAGAAAUAGAGCAGAGCUGGAAGAAAGAAGGGAUAUUUUCUCAGCAUUAUUCACAAAGCGAAGGACAUGGCUAUGGAGAGUGGUGGUGCCAGCAGGCAGAGGCAGGGACUGCAUGGAGGCAGUGAUGGCUUCUCCUGUUACUAAACAAGAGCUGGUUCUCAGAUAAUUUACAGAAUUAGCUCCUUUGAGCCAUGCUUCCUUUAAUGCACUGUGGAUGGGCAUCAUAUUGGGCCCCCAGUUUGUUUUCCCAGUGUACAGUUGUGAAGGUGCUGUUUGUUAAUAAACGAGAACAACAGCCUGUGCUUGUUUUGCAGUGCCCAUCAGAGUUAAUGAUUAAAUAGUAGCAAGGGCAGUGUUGUUGAAAUAAGUCAGGUGUUAUCACUGUGCACAAACCCCUCUGUAAGCAGCAAUAAUAACCCAUCCUGCCUCUUACUGAACUUCAAAGCUAAAGGGCAUUGGAAAACAAAGAACAGCUGGGGUCUCUCUGAAACAGGAGUGUGUUCACCCUGCCUGUGCUGCCAAGGGGGAUGCAGUGGCUCACUGGGACUGAUGGACUCACUGGUGGUUGCUGAGCACAGAUUUUAAGAGCAGGAAUGAAGGACGUUGUUUGAGUUUGGUUUUGACAUAUCAGAAUCACAGACUCAGAGGUUGAAAAAGACCACUGAGAUCAUCCAGCCCAACGAUCACCUCACCCCUGCACCACCGCUCUUGCUCUUCUCCUGCCCAUCUCCUGCACGCCCUGAGGAAGCCAAGCACCCACCACAGCUCUACCAAGUAUCUCCUUGUUCUGUUUCUGGGUCUCUGCACAUAAUAUGCACGAUGUCCUGAGCGGCUCCACGAGCAGCAGGCCCCACGUUUGCCCCCCGAGCUGUCCCAGCAGCAGGUGCUCAUCCAGCAG